AGCCUGUGGGAUAGCUCAAUCAGUAGAAUAUGAGACUCUUAAUCUCUGGGCCAGGGGUUCAAGCCCCACAUUGGCCA